CACAAACAUUCAGUAUUGCGAGAAUUGUGGGAAAGAAAAUCCAUGUAAAUAUAUUGGGAUGUGUGAAUAGACCGGUAAUAUAGAACAAGCAUGAUGAAUAUUUCAUCUGUACCUCUACACGAUUAACAAGUAGUUUAAAACAGAAUGUCUAUUAUUUACUUGCGUUUUACUUCACGAGUAAUGGUAUAGAAAUUUUGCAUAAAUAUGAAAAUGAAUGUACAUUUCUAUCUUAUCAACCUCUUCUCUAAGUUGA